rnacentral:rRNA from 1 species
UACGUAGGUGGCAAGCGUUGUCCGGAAUUAUUGGGCGUAAAGCGCGCGCAGGCGGCUAUGUAAGUCUGAUGUUAAAGCCCGGGGCUCAACCUCGGUUCGCAUUGGAAACUGUGUAGCUUGAGUGCAGAAGAGGAAAGCGGUAUUCCACGUGUAGCGGUGAAAUGCGUAGAGAUGUGGAGGAACACCAGUGGCGAAGGCGGCUUUCUGGUCUGUAACUGACGCUGAGGCGCGAAAGCGUGGGGAGCAAACAGG